GUAUGUUUUUGUUCUCUGCAUUAAAAAAAAAAAAAGACUUCAAGAGAGGGACGUAACUUGAAGUUGUCCAAAUCACACAGAACCACGCGAGAUUUCAAAACGAGAUGUUGUUGGCAAGAUGGUCGCUUGUGUGGAGAGACAACGGGACAGAUGAGACACACGUGUGUUUAUCUGCUGCAGAGAGACUGAUGAAGCAAUGCUGCCAUCACAGGCUUUGAAUCUUUUGUGGUGGAGCAGGACCUGCAAGAAAAGGUGACAUUUGUGGAAAAAAGGGAAAACCUGAAACAAAAGGAUAAAGAUCUGAAAUGUCUGGAGACUGGUGUGUGCAGUGAGGAUGGAGAAGUCCACAGCAGCAUCCUGGAAAUGGUCCAGCGACACAGAUGAGACGCUCCAUCUCUCCACCUCUUACUGCCUCAUCAGGACCGGAUGCUGCUGUGGUCUCUUCAUUCUCAGUGACCCCAGAGCCAGCGAGAACAUCUAGAGAAAGACCAAAAGACACUGAAGAUGUGAUUUUGGGGCCUACAAUCCCCCGAUCAACCUGGAGAAUAGAGCCUUGCUCGAGGACACACUGGUGGUUUUGAACCAGCAACCUUCUGCUCACCAGUUCAGUGGUUUAGCCCACUACAAAAGUAGUCAUGCUCCUGGAGAGCAGGCACACGAAUGCUUGGAGCAGACACAGCAGCAGCCAGAUUGUCCCGCACGUGUUCCCUGCUCUUGAUUCAAGGUUGUGUGCUUCAGAGAGCCGUCGUCAUAGUCUUCCUCGUCCUCUUGCUCAACGAUGUCCCCAUUGAGAAGAGAGAGAUUGUGAAGCACAGCGCAGCUGCAGAAUUGGCACAGCAGUGUUGAGAUGGCA